rnacentral:misc_RNA from 1 species
GAUGAAGAACGCAGCGAAAUGCGAUAAGUAAUGCGAAUUGCAGAAUUCCAGUGAGUCAUCGAGUCUUUGAACGCACAUUGCGCCCCCUGGUAUUCCGGGGGGCAUGCCUGUCCGAGCGUCAUUGCUGCCCUCAAGCCCGGCUUGUGUGUUGGGUCUCGUCCCCCUUCCCGGGGGGACGGGCCCGAAAGGCAGCGGCGGCACCGCGUCCGGUCCUCGAGCGUAUGGGGCUUUGUCACCCGCUCUGUAGGCCCGGCCGGCGCUUGCCGAUCAACCAAAACUUUUUUCCAGGUUGACCUCGGAUCAGGUAGGGAUACCCGCUGAACUUAAGCAUAUCAAUAAGCGGAGGA